rnacentral:rRNA from 1 species
GCACAAGCGGUGGAUGAUGUGGAUUAAUUCGAUGCAACGCGAAGAACCUUACCUACCCUUGACAUGUCCGGAACUUGCCAGAGAUGGCUUGGUGCCCGAAAGGGAACCGGAACACAGGUGCUGCAUGGCUGCCGUCAGCUCGUGUCGUGAGAUGUUGGGUUAAGUCCCGCAACGAGCGCAACCCUUGUCCUUAGUUGCUACGCAAGAGCACUCUAAGGAGACUGCCGGUGACAAACCGGAGGAAGGUGGGGAUGACGUCAAGUCCUCAUGGCCCUUAUAGGUGGGGCUACACACGUCAUACAAUGGCCGGUACAGAGGGUAGCCAACCCGCGAGGGGGAGCCAAUCCCACAAAGCCGGUCGUAGUCCGGAUCGCAGUCUGCAACUCGACUGCGUGAAGUCGGAAUCGCUAGUAAUCGCGGAUCAGCAUGUCGCGGUGAAUACGUUCCCGGGUCUU